UUGGAUCUCUGGCUAAACACUAAUUCUUGAGCAUAAUGAGACAACUGCUGAAGUUUCAAUGCAUACUGUUUCACACUCAUCUUACGUUGCUUCAAAUUAAGAAACUCCUCUACCUUAGCUUGCCUCAACUCUCAAGGAAAGAAGUGGUCAAGAAAGACACCAAAAACUCAUCCCAUAAUGUCAGCUCUACUUUAUCACCCCUUAACUACUCUCACUCC
rnacentral:lncRNA from 1 species